UGACUCAACUUCAAAUAAGAAAGAAGGAGAAAAUUAUUCUUGGGUACGACAUUGACCUCUUUGCCGAAUGUUUCGUGUUGGGUGAUCGGCUUGUUGAUACUUAUCGCUUGUACGUUUCCAUGCCAUCGACGCAAUUACAGAAAGAUCUUGAAUUCUGAAAAAGUAUUAUCUCCAAGUCCACUAGAAUGCACAACCUUUAGAGACUAAAAAAUAUGUGGUCAAGGGCCCCAACAACGUCGCUACGGGCCUGCACCUGACCGGCUUCAUUCAUAUC